CCACCGCCUAUCCCAGCCUGAUCCCUCUUUAUAUAUUUUCAAUUGUUGACUGAUACAUGUCUCGCAUUUAAUUUGUUUCUUCUGGACACCGCUAUUAUCUUCCAUUCAGUUUCUUACACAUAGCGCUAUGUUUCCCACCGCCUUUCUCUCAUCUAUACCUCAUCCUAUCCAUUAUACCUCCUCCUAUCCAUUGCCGACUCCUUCUUCGCUGUCUUCUACUCGACGUGUUCUCUUUAGAAAUUGAUUCACCAAAUCUCGUGCUUGCUUUCAUUCACCAAACUCCAUCUCAGAUAUCAUUACUAAAAACGUGAAAUCACUUCCAACCCUAGAAACUCCACCCGGUUAUGAAGUAAUCGGUUCUAGGGUGUUAUUCGAUUCGUCCUUUUUACAUCUUCCCUAAAAGGGUUCCACCUCUAUACCACUGCCGGUUUCAAUUGAUAUCGUCUGCCUCGCCGAACACAACUCCUAGCUAUUCAAUAUAUACUGUUUUAGAUGGCGUCUUGAUCGAGAACUUUGUCCCUGCUCUCACCGAUAAACCUUCCUGAUCCUUCCAUCAUCACUAACCAUCCCACCCCCAUUGAUGUAAGGUGCUUUAUCCACUAAUCUUUCUUUCACUUUCUUCUUUGAUUAUUUUUCGUCUUCCUCCUCUAUAUGAACCCACACACCGGCGAAAUUGUUCCAGUUAUAUAAUUGACAUAAUCAUUAAAAUCUGGAAGGCAGGAGAUUGGUUUGGAAGAAAUACUCAGUUAUCUGAGAAGCUUCGUGUUGGAUUUCAGAAUGAGGACCUAGAAAAUGUAGACUAGCCAUUGACUUUUCUAAAAGUCUAAUGUGAAGUACUUAUGCGUUCUCACCUCUUUACUAAAACAGCAAGCUGGCAGUCACUAAUUAGUAAAUUAUAAGUAAAGAACUUUAUUUUAUCAUUGGUUGCAUAUGAUGUUAGCCUCUCUGAUGAUGGCUGGUCUCCUGGGAUAUUCGGCAUUAUCUCAAGGAACACUUCAACCUCUUGGGAAAAGCUUGAUGUUGGUUCUCCUCUAUGACACUCAUUUGAGAUAGAAUCCAGAACAAAUUCUGCCUUUUACAGCACACCUACUAUUAUUACAUUCUGUGUCCCCACAAAGGCUCCACUACAGGAGGCGUAUUCAAUCCCACUUCUGCCCCUUGAAAUCCUAUCAGAUAAGUCACGCAAAAUUACACUUUGUCUUCUGUUACAACUAUCUUCGUGUAUGUUCAACCAGUAUUGAUUUUGCAUUUGCAAAUCCCUUACUUAAUAUUCACUUGAAGUGUUUCUCUUUCCCCUCUACAUCAAUAUCAAAUGUGUUUUCGUAUCUCCAUUUUCUCUGUUUUUUUCCUAUGUAUGGAUUUGAUUUUUUUUUCUGAUUGGGGCUUGCUGAACAAACAACAAAAUGCUUAUGAUAUAUAUGAGUUUUUCCGUAUAUAUAGCAACAACAACGAUCCUUACCGUAAAAGAAGGUAACAAACUAAAUGCAUCUCCUCUCUUGAAUCUUUUUUUUUUUUCGUUUUGAACCAAGGCAUCUUUCACUUACAUGGUUGUAAGUUGGCUUACCAAAUGGUAAGGUAUUUUUUUUUUCAAAAAAGUAUGAUGUAAAGAAAUGGUGGUUAUAGGGAUAUUGGUCAUCUCCUAUGAUGUACGCCAUGAAUGAAAUUGUUGUGAAUUAGUUUCUUGGGAAUCAACGGAAAUGAGUAAGUCAAGCAAUGUCUAAUGUGUGAUGAGGUUUAUUUUUAUAAUUGUUUUUUGUGUUAUAGCCAUUGAAUGCUGCCACAUUCAUCUUUGACUUUUUUAGUUUUUGAUUUUAAGAUUAUUAUUUAAAAUGAUUCUUUUGUAACAUUUAAAAUGCCACUGACCAAAAACAUUUGAAACAAGCAUUGAAGCAACCCAAAAGGAGAUUCAAAGUCCGACUGAUGUGGAGGUUGAACUCAAGCGGAGACUCGGCCAGCUCGCCGACCAUUUGAUUCCGAAACAAGCACAGAUCGGUGCAAAGUGCUUUUAGUUGUUGUUUUUUUAUUAAAAAAUGACCAGUGGUUUACCACAGGAUCACCCAUUAAAAAUGUUAAAUGCUGAAUAAAAUGAUGUUCACGUUACUAUUUGAAUCGUUAUGAUGAAAUUGUUAGUUGUAUUUAUUUAUUUAUUUACAGGAAUAACUAUCUUUUCAACUAUUUUCACUUUCUUUUUUUCAUCACCCAUUCUCAGUUGUGUACAUAUGUAGGAUCUCGAUCUUACAAAACCAGGCAUUAAUAUGCCAUCAACAAGAUUAGAUUUUGAAGUACCAACACAAGAAGUUCUAAAAAAAGAUGACUUCCGGAAUGUGAGGUUUCUUGCUUACUUUAUAACCAAGGCUGGAGUGGGUGGUCAAUUGGUACCCACAAUAGGAAUUCUAUUAUCCACACGACCACCCACUUAUGGAAGGCGGUGCCAUUAAAAUUGCUAAUAUGAAUUACGGUGGAAAAGUGAUAUCGUCACGGAUUAAUUAAAGAAUAUGUAAAGUCAAGAUAUAGCAAUAUACUUUUUCUGUUAACUCUGUUGAAAUUUACUGUGUGUUGUAUACUAUUUUGGAGAACUCCACAUAGCAAUAUACUUUUUCUAUCAAUAACGAA